ACUCUGAAAUCGCCGAGGCGGGAAAAUCUAUUUCCGGUGAAUCAAGCCGGAUCCGACUUCAGAAUCGUCGGAGAAAAGCCACGGUCCGGGAUUGUCGAC
rnacentral:misc_RNA from 1 species